AUUGAACGCUGGCGGCAUGCCUUACACAUGCAAGUCGAACGGUAGAGUAGCAAUACUUGAGAGUGGCGAACGGGUGAGUAAUAUAUCGGAACGUGCCCAGUCGUGGGGGGAUAACGUAGAGAAAUUUACGCUAAUACCGCAUACGAUCUAAGGAUGAAAGCGGGGGGAUUCGCAAGAACCUCGCGCGAUUGGAGCGGCUGAUAUCAGAUUAGGUUGUUGGUGAGGUAAAAGCUCACCAAGCCGACGAUCUGUAGCUGGUUUGAGAGAACGACCAGCCACACUGGGACUGAGACACGGCCCAGACUCCUACGGGAGGCAGCAGUGGGGAAUUUUGGACAAUGGCGGAAAGACCUGAUCCAGCCAUGCCGCGUGUGUGAAGAAGG
rnacentral:rRNA from 1 species